GGCCUCGUAGCUCAGCUGGUAGAGCAUGCGCGUACAAAGCAUAUGCGGUGUCCAUGCACGGGUUCGAAUCCCACCGAGGCUA
rfam:Echinostoma caproni strain Egypt genome assembly, scaffold: ECPE_scaffold0012518